rnacentral:misc_RNA from 1 species
AAAAAAAAAUCUAAUAACACUAAUGUAGCAACCCAAAUAGACAAACCCACACUUCUCCUUCUUCUCUCUAAAUGGAACCCUUCACCUCUUUAAAUUCCCUUCAUUGAGCGUAGGGGAGUCCAAAGGAAUCUUUCAUUCAACAAACUUGAAUCCCAAUCUAAGGAACUUGCAGCAAUCUAAUGAAACCGAAAGCAAAAGGGAAAAACUAGAAAGGAAGUAAAAAAGGGGAUUCUUAGCCAAUUUUUGAGCCAUUUUCAGAGCUAGCAGUAAGGACACAACAAAGAGUGGAAAAGAUGCAUCACAA